rnacentral:rRNA from 1 species
UACAGAGGUCUCAAGCGUUGUUCGGAUUCAUUGGGCGUAAAGGGUGCGUAGGCGGCGCGGUAAGUCGGGUGUGAAAUCUCGGAGCUUAACUCCGAAACUGCAUUCGAUACUGCCGUGCUUGAGGACUGGAGAGGAGACUGGAAUUUACGGUGUAGCGGUGAAAUGCGUAGAUAUCGUAAGGAAGACCAGUGGCGAAGGCGGCCGGGCUGGGGGUGACCUGACGCUGAGGCGCGAAAGCGUGGGUAGCAAACAGG